GACGAACGCUGGCGGCGUGCUUAACACAUGCAAGUCGAACGAAGAGCGAUGGAAGCUUGCUUCUAUCAAUCUUAGUGGCGAACGGGUGAGUAACGCGUAAUCAACCUGCCCUUCAGAGGGGGACAACAGUUGGAAACGACUGCUAAUACCGCAUACGAUCUAAUCUCGGCAUCGAGGAGAGAUGAAAGGUGGCCUCUACAUGUAAGCUAUCACUGAAGGAGGGGAUUGCGUCUGAUUAGCUAGUUGGAGGGGUAACGGCCCACCAAGGCGAUGAUCAGUAGCCGGUCUGAGAGGAUGAACGGCCACAUUGGGACUGAGACACGGCCCAGACUCCUACGGGAGGCAGCAGUGGGGAAUCUUCCGCAAUGGACGAAAGUCUGACGGAGCAACGCCGCGUGAGUGAUGACGGCCUUCGGGUUGUAAAGCUCUGUUAAUCGGGACGAAAGGUCUUCUUGCGAAUAGUGAGAAGAAUUGACGGACCGGAAUAGAAAGCCACGCA
rnacentral:rRNA from 1 species